GAAUCACAUUACAAUUAAUUUGCUAACAUUACAUAAGCCAAAUGUUUGUCGACUGAAGCGUAUGUCUACACGAAAAAAAAAAACAUAUAUUUGCUAGUGCAACACAUCAAAAUAUCUCCACAAAAUGGAACGUGUUUGGUUAUUUAAUAGGACACACCCAAUUCACAAUUCAAUUUGGGCAAAAUUCUAAACCACCGCCAGCUACAGUGGCGCACAACCUCAGACUUCAGACUAGGGAAAGUAAUCACUAUUAUUACUGUAAUUCCAUCACAUUCCUACUUGAAUAUACCAACAAUAGGCAAAAAACUGUCCCGUCUCGGGCUGUUCGGGAAUACUUAAAUCCGAAUGAAUAACAAUAAAACACCACACCCGGAACCACUAUCCGGCUGAUUUGCAAAGUUAUCUUCUCAAGUUGAAUUGUAGUCUAGUCUCUGGUAGAUUCUCCGAGCCGCCGGUUUCGCUGAGCAGCGCUGCAGCAAUUGGUCGAGCCCGAUCAGCCCUCGAUAAUGAGCCACGUGAGUGCAGGUGUCACAACAAACUCCUCGCGCGAUGUGACAACAGGGGAGUCGGGCGGGCUGGAUUUGCAUCGCAGCAGAGCUGGUUACUGCAUACGCGGAAUUACUGUAUGCACAGUGGCUCAGAUUCUGCCAGCAUCUACAAUUCUGCUACACCGCAGAAGCAAUGUAACACCAGGAAGUCAAUCGUCUCACUCUUAGUCUACGAAAGAGGAAAAACCACUCUCUCAGAUCCUAUUCCAGAAUAUUCCAUAAAUGCUGGAAUGAGCUCUGAACUGGGAAGGUGAUGACAUUAGGAGAACAUCAGUGUCAUGGUCUUCAAACGACUGGGCUAAUUCUGCUCUGUGGACGGGGGCACUGUCACCUGAAGUCACACCCCUCCCUGGAUGAUAGAAAUGCUUUAACAUGCGGUCAUACCGGGGAAAAAAGUCCGCCACAUCAUUAUAGAACCCCCAGAACCGUUCAGUGAGUAACAGUCUGAGCUGAUUCCAGGCAUAUGGAAUGGCUUUAUUUCAUGAAAAAUAAAAUGCUGCUCUUAGUGUACAGCUGCACUGCGGUACUGGCAAAAGCACAUCUCAUUCCCACCCAGUUAGCAGAGCGUUCUCACUUUGAUUCUGUAACAUAGCGAUGAAGUCGCAUGUGCCAGUUACACGUUUAAAAAAAUUACAUGGCUAACACGUGUACAUCACAGGCACACAUCACAUCGACUAUAAAAACGUCAGUAACGAGACAAUUGAAUCAUUUGAAUGACAGGAGUGAUAAU